rnacentral:rRNA from 1 species
UACGAAGGGGGCUAGCGUUGCUCGGACUUACUGGGCGUAAAGGGCGCGUAGGCGGCACUGUUAGUCAGGCGUGAAAGUCCUGGGCUCAACCUGGGAACUGCGCUUGAUACGGCAGAGCUAGAGGAUGGAAGAGGGUCGCGGAAUUCCCAGUGUAGAGGUGAAAUUCGUAGAUAUUGGGAAGAACACCGGUGGCGAAGGCGGCGUCCUGGUCCAUUACUGACGCUGAGGCGCGACAGCGUGGGGAGCAAACAGG